rnacentral:lncRNA from 1 species
AGAAAGCGGAAUACCUGAGUCUGCAGAGAAGAAUGACGAAAGUGAAAGGGAAAGGCCUACUUAUAGUAAAAACAAGGGCACAUUUCCCAAACGUAAUCAUUAGGUCUAGAAUGGCCUAAAUGAGCCUCAAGGGCCGCCUACAUUCCCAAAAACCUACUCGCGACGGUUUUGUUUCUCGAUUGGAUAGUCAAACCGGAAUCAAUCUCCGAUUUUGAUCUAAACUGAUUCCCGGUCGAACAGCGAAACCGGCCCCAUCAUUUCAC